UACGAAGGGGGCUAGCGUUGUUCGGAAUUACUGGGCGUAAAGCGCACGUAGGCGGAUUUGUAAGUCAGGGGUGAAAUCCCGGGGCUCAACCCCGGAACUGCCUUUGAUACUGCAAAUCUCGAGUCCGGAAGAGGUGAGUGGAAUUCCUAGUGUAGAGGUGAAAUUCGUAGAUAUUAGGAAGAACACCAGUGGCGAAGGCGGCUCACUGGUCCGGUACUGACGCUGAGGUGCGAAAGCGUGGGGAGCAAACAGG
rnacentral:rRNA from 1 species